AUCUCGCUGACUCUCGUGAGAGUUUCCUCGCCAGGCCCUAGCAGGUGCACCAAAGGUUUUGAAUAAAAUUCUUUUUUCUUCUAGAUUUGAACUCAUAAACUAAAAUUUGUUCUUGGAUAAAAAAAAUCCUACAUAUGUUGCUUCUUGUGUUGGAGUUUGAGGCCAGGGCUUCUUGCAUGCUUCCUCAAAGUAUGUGGGUUUGGGAGUGUUGUCUUUCAUGGAGUGAACGAUGACCUUGAACUCCUGACUCCGCUUUAGCUUCCACUACCCAAGUGCAAAGGUGACAGCAUUGCGCCGAACGCCAAGCUGGCAGUUCCUCCGCAGCUUUUCCUGCCACGCCCGGUUCUUGUCAUGUAAGCCCCGCCCACUGAGCUCUCUGGACUCUGGCCUAGGGAGGAAGGCCCCACCACCAGGGUGACGCGUCUCUCUAUCAGCCACGCCCCCUUCCCAAUGCUUUAAGAGCGCCAGCUGUCACGUCACUUUCACGCGACCUCAUCUUUGUCAGUGCACAAAAUGGCGCCUUACAGCCUACUGGUCACCCGGCUGCAGAAGGCCCUGGGUGUGCGGCAGUACCAUGUGGCCUCUGCCCUGUGCCAACGGGCCAAGGUGGCCAUGAGCCACUUUGAGCCCAGUGAGUACAUCCGAUAUGACCUGCUAGAGAAGAACAUUAACAUUGUCCGUAAACGGUAAGGCUGUGGGGAGCUCAGGGUGACAGCUGAGAGCUUCUUCCCCUUCAGGAAGCACUGGGACUGCCAGCGGCAGGAUCUAGUGUUCAGGAAGCAAAAAUCCCAGCAGACGGAAAACUUAGUGUUGGAGCCUCUGUCCCUUAUCCAAGGAGUAACAUUAAGAAAAGUGCAGGGACAAUGACACAUGCCUGCAGUCUCAGUGCUGCAAAGGCAGAGGCAGGAGCACCAGGAGCGUCAGACCAGAGAACUGCCUUCUAAGGUU
rnacentral:lncRNA from 1 species